rnacentral:sRNA from 1 species
CCCUUGGACAGCCUUGAUUCAGAGAGUUACUCCAGUCUCAGGGAAUUUCCAGGUGAUCCAACCCCACUGAAGGGUUUCCUGCCAGCCCAGAGAAGUUGAGCCACUUUCCCCAUGUCACACAGUAUGGGUGCUUGCAGGGAAGAGUUGCUGGGAGGUCCUCCCUCACCUCCCCAGAAGGCAUCAGACUUUGGGAGGAGCAUCUUACCCCAUGUGGCCCUCUGGUCCCGUCAGAUUCCUGAAGUCAUGGGCUGGCCAGGACAUUGGUGACCCGCCAAUCCGGCAUGGACGACUGGAAGCCCAGCCCCCUCAUCAAGCCCUUUGGGGCUCGGAAGAAGCGGAGCUGGUACCUUACCUGGAAGUAUAAACUGACAAACCAGCGGGCCCUGCGGAGAUUCUGUCAGACAGGAGCCGUGCUUUUCCUGCUGGUGACUGUCAUUGUCAAUAUCAAGUUGAUCCUGGACACUCGGCGAGCCAUCAGUGAAGCCAAUGAAGACCCAGAGCCAGAGCAAGACUAUGAUGAGGCCCUAGGCCGCCUGGAGCCCCCACGGCGCAGAGGCAGCGGUUCCCGGCGGGUCCUGGACGUAGAGGUGCUGGAGGAUGAGGCCCGGGAGCAGGGCCGGGGCAUCCAUGUCAUUGUCCUCAACCAGGCCACGGGCCACGUGAUGGCAAAACGUGUGUUUGACACGUACUCACCUCAUGAGGAUGAGGCCAUGGUGCUGUUCCUCAACAUGGUAGCACCUGGCCGAGUGCUCAUCUGCACUGUCAAGGUCAGUUAUUCUGUCCUGACCCUGACCCCCAAUCCCUAGCUCCAACCCUGCUUCUAGCCCCGGCUUCUCUGCCCCUCAUAUAACAUAGUGGGAAGAUUCUCUGAAGGAAGGUCACUCAGGUUCCAAUCUCCGCCUUAACAUUUGUAUUAAUUCAGCAAAUAGUUAUUGAGCAACAACUGUAUGCCAGGUACUGCUCUGGGUGCUGAAGAUACAAUGGGAAACAAGACAGAGUCCCCACCCUCAUGGAGCUUAUAUUCCAGCAGUGGGAGGUCAACAGAAACAGCCAAGUAAAUGUGGAUAAUGCUAGUAAAUGAUAACUUAUAUAAA